rnacentral:rRNA from 1 species
GAGGAAGAGAAAGAAAAAUCGAUUUCCUGAGUAGCGGCGAGCGAAACGGAAAGAGCCCAAACCAAGAAGCUUGCUUCUUGGGGUUGUAGGACACUCUAUACGGAGUUACAAAAGAAAGUUAUAAAUGAAGCGGUCUGGAAAGGCCCGCCAAAGACGGUAACAGCCCGGUAGUUGAAAUGGCUUUCCCUCCAGAGUGGAUCCUGAGUACGGCGGAACACGUGAAAUUCCGUCGGAAUCCGGGAGGACCAUCUCCCAAGGCUAAAUACUCCCUAGUGACCGAUAGUGAACCAGUACCGUGAGGGAAAGGUGAAAAGCACCCCGGAAGGGGAGUGAAACAGUUCCUGAAACCGUGUGCCUACAAGUAGUUAGAGCCCGUUAAUGGGUGAUAGCGUGCCUUUUGUAGAAUGAACCGGCGAGUUACGAUUUGUUGCAAGGUUAAGCGGAAAAAGCGGAGCCGUAGCGAAAGCGAGUCUGAAUAGGGCGCAUAAGUAACAGGUCGUAGACCCGAAACCAGGUGAUCUACCCAUGUCCAGGAUGAAGGUAAGGUAAUACUUACUGGAGGUCCGAACCCACGCACGUUGAAAAGUGCGGGGAUGAGGUGUGGGUAGCGGAGAAAUUCCAAUCGAACUUGGAGAUAGCUGGUUCUCUCCGAAAUAGCUUUAGGGCUAGCCUCGAGGUAAAGAGUCAUGGAGGUAGAGCACUGUUUGGACUAGGGGCCCUUCUCGGGUUACCGAAUUCAGAUAAACUCCGAAUGCCAUGUACUUAUACUCGGGAGUCAGACUGCGAGUGAUAAGAUCCGUAGUCGAAAGGGAAACAGCC